AAAAGGUAAAAGCUUUCAAAAUUCAUUAUUUUGAAAAUUCUUUUUUUUUUCUCUCUCUGAUGGUCCAUCUCCAUGUUCAUCAUCAUCACGAUUUGCUACUGCUUUCUUCCACCACAACGUUGGCAACACUUCUUCUCUAUUUUUACUUCAUCUAUUCCUGCCCAGGCCUAUAGAUAUAUCUCAUGGCUAGAUGAUAACUCUUUUAGUUUUUUUACUUGAUAGGAUUAGCAUUGAAGCCCAAAUUAGAACAAUUGAAGUUGCCCUACAAAUGACUAUGGGAGAAAAAGUAAAGUUGCAUGAGUUAAGGAGAUUAUAUAUAUAUAUAUAUAUAUAUAUAGAAUAUUUAGGUUUAUUUAUCAAAUACAAUGAUGAGGUCAAUUUGAAUGUAAAUGCGGGAGGGUGGGGAGACUUUUUUUUCCCCUGACGUUUAACUCUCCAAACUCUCUUGUUAGUUUUAUGAGUUUUUUUAAUUUUUUGUGCUCUUCUUUAUAUCAUCAUCAUAGAGGGAAAAGAUUGUAUCCUGUAUGAGGUUUUUUUUUUUUUUUUUUUUUUUUUUUGAGCUCUUUUUUAUCAUGGUAGAGGGAAAGGAGAUGUUGAUUGUAAACGACUAUAAUAGAAAGGAAGUGCAAAAAUGUUGGUGAACCUCUUUAACGUUACUUUUGCA